GAUGAACGCUGGCGGUAUGCUUAACACAUGCAAGUCGAACGAAAGCUUUAUGCUUUAGUGGCGAACGGGUGCGUAAUACGUGAGAAUCUGCCCUUAGGAGGAGAAUAACUUCUGGAAACGGUUGCUAAGUCUCCAUAUGCCGAGAGGUAAAAUAGUUUACACUGCCUAGGGAUGAGCUCACGCCUGAUUAGCUUGUUGGUAAGGUAAUGGCUUACCAAGGCCACGAUCAGUAGCUGGUUUGAGAGAACGAUCAGCCACACUGGGACUGAGACACGGCCCAGACUCCUCCGGGAGGCAGCAGUGAGGAAUUUUCCGCAAUGGGCGAAAGCCUGACGGAGCAAUACCGCGUGAGGGAUGAAGGAUUUUGGUCUGUAAACCUCUUUUCUCAAGAAAGAAGUUCUGACGGUACUUGAGGAAUAAGCAUCGGCUAACUCCGUGCCAGCAGCCGCGGUAAUACGGGGGAUGCAAGCGUUAUCCGGAUUUAUUGGGCGUAAAGCGCCUGUAGGUUGUUUAAUAAGUCUGUUGUUAAAGACUAGGGCUUAACCCUAGGAAAGCAAUGGAAACUACUAGACUUGAGUAUGAUAGGGGUAGAGGGAAUUUCUAGUGUAGCGGUGAAAUGCGUAGAUAUUAGAAAGAACACCGGUGGCGAAGGCGCUCUACUGGAUCAUUACUGACACUCAGAGGCGAAAGCUAGGGUAGCAAAAGGGAUUAGAUACCCCUGUAGUCCUAGCCGUAAACGAUGGAUACUACAUGUUGCGUUUUUAAUGCAGUAUGGUAGCUAACGCGUUAAGUAUCCCGCCUGGGGAGUACGGUCGCAAGGCUGAAACUCAAAGGAAUUGACGGGGGCCCGCACAAGCGGUGGAGCAUGUGGUUUAAUUCGAUGCAACGCGAAGAACUCUUACCAAGGCUUGACAUACUACAGAUUUCUUUGAAAAAGGAAAGUGCCUUCGGGAAUGUAGAUACAGGUGGUGCAUGGCUGUCGUCAGCUCGUGUCGUGAGAUGUUGGGUUAAGUCCCGCAACGAGCGCAACCCUUAUUUUUAGUUGCUAAUUUAGUUUAGGUUUUCUAGAAAGACUGCCGGUGACAAACCGGAGGAAGGUGAGGAUGACGUCAAGUCAGCAUGCCCCUUAUGCCUUGGGCUACACACGUGCUACUAUGGUUAAGACAAAGAGUUGCGAGCUCGUGAGAGUCAGCUAAUCUCAUAAACUUAGCCUAAGUUCGGAUUGUAGGCUGCAACUCGCCUGCAUGAAGUCGGAAUCGCUAGUAAUCGCUGGUCAGCCAUACAGCGGUGAAUCCGUUCCCGGGCCU
rnacentral:rRNA from 1 species